GGGCUCGUAGUGUUAAUGGUAGCACGCCGUUCUUGACAUACGUGAAGUGCCGGUUCAAAUCCGGUCGGGUCCACCG
rnacentral:tRNA from 1 species